UGACGCAGCAACGCCGCGUGUGUGAUGAAGGUCUUCGGAUUGUAAAGCACUUUCGACCGGGACGAAAACCCUCUGGCCAACACCCAGGGGCUUGACGGUACCGGGAGAAGAAGCACCGGCUAACUCUGUGCCAGCGGCCGCGGUAAUACAGAGGGUGCAAGCGUUGUUCGGAAUUAUUGGGCGUAAAGCGCGUGUAGGCGGCUUUGCAAGUCGGGUGUGAAAGCCCUCAGCUCAACUGAGGAAGUGCGCCCGAAACUGCAGAGCUUGAGUGCCGGAGAGGGUGGCGGAAUUCCCCAAGUAGAGGUGAAAUUCGUAGAUAUGGGGAGGAACACCGGUGGCGAAGGCGGCCACCUGGACGGUAACUGACGCUGAGACGCGAAAGCGUGGGGAGCAAACAGGAUUAGAUACCCUGGUAGUCCACGCCGUAAACGAUGAGAACUAGGUGUCGUGGGUGUUGACCCCCGCGGUGCCGUAGCUAACGCAUUAAGUUCUCCGCCUGGGAAGUACGGUCGCAAGACUA
rnacentral:rRNA from 1 species